rnacentral:rRNA from 1 species
UACAGGGGGGGCAAGCGUUGUUCGGAAUUACUGGGCGUAAAGGGUUCGUAGGUGGCCACUUAAGUCAGACGUGAAAUCCCUCAGCUUAACUGGGGAACUGCGUCUGAUACUGGGUGGCUUGAGUGCAGGAGAGGAAUGCGGAAUUCCAGGUGUAGCGGUGAAAUGCGUAGAUAUCGGGAAGAACACCGGUGGCGAAGGCGGCUCGCUGGGCCAUUGCUGACGCUGAGGCGCGAAAGCGUGGGGAGCAAACAGG